CAAGUUUGGCGGUGACGACAUGCUCCGAAAAGAAAAAAGAAUGUAAGCUACGCGUGGCCAAAAGCCUAGUGACAUUGAGGUCUACGAGGAGGGCCACAAUGGACCAGACCCUAACAACCCUGACCAGCUCUGCAGCCAGACAACCACAGUUCGGCUAGUGGCAUAUGGGGAGGAGAUGGUUCGUCUCCAUGAACCUGACUUCGACUGGCGAC